GUAGUCCACGCCCUAAACGAUGUCAACUAGUUGUCGGGUCUUAACGGACUUGGUAACGCAGCUAACGCGUGAAGUUGACCGCCUGGGGAGUACGGUCGCAAGAUUAAAACUCAAAGGAAUUGACGGGGACCCGCACAAGCGGUGGAUUAUGUGGAUUAAUUCGAUGCAACGCGAAAAACCUUACCUACCCUUGACAUGUGCCGAAGUCCGCCGAGAGGUGGGUGUGCCCGAAAGGGAACGGCAACACAGGUGCUGCAUGGCUGUCGUCAGCUCGUGUCGUGAGACGUUGGGUUAAGUCCCGCAACGAGCGCAACCCUUGUCAUUAAUUGCCAUCAUUCAGUUGGGCACUUUAAUGAAACUGCCGGUGACAAACCGGAGGAAGGUGGGGAUGACGUCAAGUCCUCAUGGCCCUUAUGGGUAGGGCUUCACGCGUAAUACAAUGGCGCGUACAGAGGGUUGCCAACCCGCGAGGGGGAGCUAAUCUCAGAAAGCGCGUCGUAGUCCGGAUCGGAGUCUGCAACUCGACUCCGUGAAGUCGGAAUCGCUAGUAAUCGCGGAUCAGCAUGUCGCGGUGAAUA
rnacentral:rRNA from 1 species